rnacentral:rRNA from 1 species
CGGGGUGAGUAACGCGUGGAUAACCUGCCUCACACUGGGGGAUAACAGUUAGAAAUGACUGCUAAUACCGCAUGAGCGCACAGUACCGCAUGGUACGGUGUGAAAAACGCCGGUGGUGUGAGAUGGAUCCGCGUCUGAUUAGCCAGUUGGCGGGGUAACGGCCCACCAAAGCGACGAUCAGUAGCCGACCUGAGAGGGUGACCGGCCACAUUGGGACUGAGACACGGCCCAA